CAGGUCAGGCGGGAUUACC
rnacentral:rRNA from 1 species